AAAGUCAAGUAAAGGGAGAUAACUCUAAUAUUGAACAGUUGAUACCUGACACUGGAAACAAUAAUACAAGAGAAGACGAUACUGAUAGUUUACCAGACAUAGACAUGGCACUUGAUGAGUUACAUGGACCAUUGUUAAACGAUCCAGAACUACACGAAAUUUUAUCCAGUGUUCAAACGCACAGUAAAAAGCAUUCAAAAUCUUGUAAAAAGAAAAAUACGGCGAUGCUCACAAAGAAGCUGUUGAAGGUAAUUUGGAUGCUAAAAGUAGUCUAAAAAAGAUUUCAAGUACAUAUUUACAUAGUAGAGAGGUAUCGGCACAAGAGGCAGCAUAUCGUGUGUGUAAUCUACGUCUUAAAGAAACAUCCAGAAACGUAGUAUUUAUACCGACAGGUGGUGCCGGUAGCGGAAAGAGUCAUAUCGUCAAAUGUAUGUAUUAUGAAGCAUCAAGAUUAUUAGCCAGAAUUAGUGACAGUCCCGAUGACACAACAGUUGCAGUUACCUGCCCAACUGGCGUAUCGGCGUUUAACAUCUCAUCAAUUGGAGAUUUUUACCAGUUACCUCCCGUGAAAGGCAGAGCUCUGUACAAUGAAAAUGAAAUGGUUAAUCUGUGGCAAGAUAAUUUUAAACUUGUUCAACUUACCGAAAUAAUGAGACAGAGAGAUGAUUUGACAUUUGCGCAAGCACUUAAUAGAAUACGCACAAAAAAGAAUUCUGAUGAAAUGUCUGUAGAUGAUAUUAAUUUUUUCAGCAGUAGGGUUACAGGUGAAGAAUCUGAUGCAGGUUAAAUUCUUACGCCGUAAAUGUCCAGAUACCAUAACCAUAGCAGCCAACGAUUAUUCAAAAGAUGCUAGAACAGAUUUUAUUGACAGAGUUAGAAAACUAUGUUGGUGAUAUGAAUGUAAUAGGUGACUUCAAUCAGAAUCUUUUGGAUGGAAAUUCAACCAUUGCAAGAUGUAUGCCAGAGAAUGGUUUUACGCAACUUGUAAAUGUUGUAACAGCAACAGAAAUUGUGAAGAUAUACAUUGAAACAAGUGAACAAUUACCUCCCUUUGAUAGUAUCAUCUUGAACUCGGAAACAGACAUCAAGUUUUUCUUUAUUACAGAAUUUUUUCUUUACAGAAAUUGUAUAAAGAUCAACUAUAUUUAUUACAGAAAUUGUAAUGGUAUGUAAUAUAUUCCAUAUUGUAAUAUUAUUAUAUUUAUUAUAAAAAUUGUGGGGAUCACGUGGCUAAGUGGGUAAGGCGCUAGCUCGCUAGCCUGGAGGUCGGGUGUUCGAUCCCUGCAUUGGCCGAGAAAGUUCAUCCAGAUUUUCCGGCGUGGUUCUCCCUUGUCAGUGAUGCAGGACGGAGGGGCUGACAAGGAAAGCUGUCUAGUCGUUCGGAUGGGACGAAAAACCGAGGUCCCGUGUACACAUUGGCGUGCACGUAAAAGAUCCCUUGGCAGUUGGAAUUCGAUAUAAGAGUAGGCCGUAGUGCCGCUGUCCGGGCAAAAUUUCCCUCAUAGCACACUGUAUGGCGUAUGCCCGUCUUCAUUAGCCCAGGUUAGGAGCAGAACAGUAGGACGUUAAACCCCAUUUCAUUUCAUUUCAUUUAUAAAAAUUGUAAUGGUAUGUAAUAAAUAUAUUUUAUAUUGUAAUUUUAUUACAGAAAUUGUACAGUUAUGUUGUACUACACUUUCUUUAGCAGAAAUUUGAAAGUAUAUUAUAUACUCUCUACUAAAUUUAUAAUAGUAUAAUUUGAUUUAAUUGUAAGGAGAUGUUUGG